AGAGCCGAAUGUUCCGCGUCCAGUUCAGUGGGGAGUCCCAGGAAGAGGCACUGGAACACUGCUGUGGCUGCGUGCAGACCCUGACCCAGUAUGUCACCGUCCAGGAACCUGACCGCAUCACCCAGGAGCUUCAGCAGAGCCCAGGCCCACGAGAGGCAGGUGAAAGCCAAGGGAAGGAUCCACUGCAGCAGGGGUCUAUCCUGGCGCCAGAGAAGCUGACCCUAGCCUAUGAAGGAUCUUCAUGGGGAGCAGAAGAAUUGGGCCCUUUUCUACGUUUAUGCCUCAUGGAUCAGAACUUCCCAGCAUUUGUGGAAGAGGUGGAGAAGGAACUUAAAAAGAUCACAGGGUUGAGAAACUAAAAGCCCUGCACAUGUAUGCAAUUAAGGAACUGAAGGUAUUUGAAUAAAGAGUAUUAUUCCAAGCACCUUUUAUCAAUGUUUUAUUGUUAAAAACAGGUGAAUUCACUUUUUUUGUACACCAUUGCACUUCAAUAAUUACACAGAACACAAGUACAUGCAUCUACAGUUAGUACCGCAUGAGAACCCAGUCAGGUUAUAAAAUCUAUCAUCAGUCAUGAAAUCAAUGUGAAAAUACAGUGUCAAACCAAAAGGUAUAACUAGAGUUGCAUAGAAUAUCACCAUGCUAUUAACAUUUCAGGGUCAUUGAAAACAAAUGGGAAAUUAUAAAAGUUGCCUUGAUUGAAUAUACAAGAAUAAGGUUCGACACAUCAGUGCAAAAGAUUUCAGAAUUUACAUGAUUUGACAAAAGGAAAAAUAGUCACUUAAAAAGCAAUCAUACAUAUAUACUGCAAUUCAUUCUAGCCGUUCAGUGGACUGUUCCAGGUUCUUAAAGUUAUAGGGUAAGUAAGCCCUUAGAAUGACAGACUUAAGUUUAUACUCUCAUCUUUUUGUACCAGAACUGCAGCUUCCUCAUCUGACAACAAAUAAUAAGGAAUGAGUAUCAGCAGCUUAAAAAUGAAACAAGCUUUGACUUUAUUUUGGAUUUCUCCCACCCCCAAAAAUAUAAAUAUAUAUAUAUUUAUAUACUGUAUAUAUCUGUAGGUUUUGCUGUACUUUACAAAAUGAUCACUAGAUGGCAGCAGUGCAUUUAGAGCUUUGCCAAUUUAACAGCUGUAUAAGUAAAAAAUGGCGCAUGCAUGAUCUGAUCCUCAAAGGACCUUUCGCUUCUAUUUAAAUAUUUUAACAAAGGGAGGGAAAGCAACAUUCACAGCACAUCAAGCCCAAAAUAGUUUACACCUUCUACACUGAAGCAUUGUUUAAAAUGUACCUGGCUAGGUCACCCUUAUAGGAGAGGCUAAAUAAGGCAUGCUUUAGACGGUCAUUGUGGUGUUGCUCACUUGAAAGGGAGAGACCAAAGAGGUCCAAGCAGAAAACUUAGCAGGUCAUGUUGCCAUCAUUUUUCAG
rnacentral:lncRNA from 1 species